rnacentral:rRNA from 1 species
UACGUAGGGGGCAAGCGUUGUUCGGAAUUACUGGGCGUAAAGCGCGCGUAGGCGGUCUGAAAAGUCAGAUGUGAAAGCCCCGGGCUCAACUUGGGAACUGCAUUUGAUACUGUCAGACUAGAGUACAGAAGAGGUGACUGGAAUUCCCAGUGUAGCGGUGAAAUGCGUAGAUAUCGUAAGGAAGACCAGUGGCGAAGGCGGGUCUCUGGACAGUUCCUGACGCUGAGGCACGAAGGCCAGGGGAGCAAACGGG